UGCAGUAGGUGGAUCACCAUCCUAUGUUUUGAGUAGCAUUUCAUUAACCUGGACAGAAGCUCAGAAAUUCUGCCGUGAGAAUUAUGUUGACCUGGCCAGUGUACGAAAUCAGGCAGAAAAUGACAUCAUCAGAAACCUAAUAGGUCCCGGAAUUGUUUGGAUUGGACUGUAUCGGGAAAUGCUGUGGUCUGAUGGCAGCGACUCUCUGUUUCGACACUUUGCAAAUGGCGAGCCCAACGGUCCCUCUGGUGAUAAGUGUGUUGUUGGAUCCUUUAGUGACUCUGGAAGAUGGUCGGAUGAAAGCUGCAGCCUGAGUUAUCCAUUCGUCUGCUACAAACAAAUUCCACCAAAUGCAGAAGGUUUUACAGCUUCAGCACAGAAUGAGAGCAGCAUCACUCUGCAGUGGAACAAGAUCAACAUCAACACCAGCUUUGUUCUCCUGUUUAAUGGUGUGGAGACAUUCAUCAGUGCCCCAGUUGCAGAUGGACCAGUAAACUACACAGUCUCAUCUCUCACUCCUGCAACAAACUACACAUUCACUCUCUUCUCUGUUCUUGACAACAUCAGGAGCAGUGGCAUCAACAUUACUGCAGCUACUGGUAAGACUUUACAUUUUAUUAAGAAACAAAGAUAUUUUAAUGCCAGAAGUCAGUUAGUCUGUAGUCUUUUGGAUAUUGAAAAUGGUUUAUUUGCCUUGGAGAGGUAAAGCGCACGACUCGUAUGCGUCCUCAGUCCUGGCUUGUUGACCUUUGCCACAUCUUCCCCCCUCUCUUAUAACCCGGUUUUUUUGUUUGAGCACUUUUACAUUCACUCUUAAACCUGCUCUGUAACAACUUAUGAAACAUGAGUCUCAUUUGAAGGACA